CCGCGCCUCCCCCUUUGUUCCCUCCUCCAUUUCCUCCUGCGCGGGUGUCUUGAGGGUGCCAGGGAGGAGGCAAAGGGUGCAGACUGGAGGACCCUGUGUAGAAGGAGCUGGUGUUGCUGACUUAGCCCAGGACUGCUGCGGUGGGAGCUCCCCGCUGCUGGCAGGACCAGGAGCGGGGGAGGAGACUGCAGCUCCUUUCCUCCUCUUCCCUUGCGUUUACAUUUCUUUCUUUCCACCUUCCUUAGUCGUCCUCUUCUCCUCUAGAUUUUCUCCUUCUCUCCCUCCUUUUCCCCAGUAUUCCUCUGCUGCCUGUGUUUGGGCUGAGAGCUGGCUGGGGAGGGCGCUAAAAGAGGGGGAAGAGUGGGGGUGAAAGAUUUCCCUGCCUGUCGGGGGGUUGAUUGGAAGAGGCGAUCGUAUCUGCAGCCGAAGGAUUAACAGCUAAACUUUUAUUGCAGCCUCUGUGCUGUGUGUGUAAGUAAAUGGGGGAAGUCUCCGCUCAAAGAGGGAACGUGUCUUGUUUCCUUUUGACAGAUGCAGUUGGUGGGGUGGGGAACAAUGAACAUUUUCUUUAGGACAUAAAGUGAAGGAGGAAAAAACUCUCCUCUCCUCCCCCCCCUCAAGAAUCUACAGCAUACUCCUCCCCCCAGCCGUGAAAUGAACGGAAGAAUCUCCGGGAUUUUCUUCUGCUCUUCGCCCUGGACUAUAGGAGUGAGGGGAUCUCUCUCUACGUACAUCCAUCUCUCUAUCUCUCCAUCCAUCUCCGGGAGGAUUUGAGGCGGUGCAAUGUGCUUUCAGCCGCUUGCUGCCGCUGCCUGAUACCAUGCAACACGCAGAGAGAGGGUUUUGCAAAAAUGGAUUUGUUCGAUUUUAAAGGAUUUCUUCUCUAAUAAGGAUUGCAUUGCCCACAAAUAUGACUAAAUCUCCUGUUUGGUAAAUCUUCCUGCCCCCUCCCCUUCGGGCUCCCUCCCUCCACCCCUUCAGAGGAGCAAGCCCAGGGAGCUGAUGACGGACCCAUUAAUCCUUCCUUCAAUGCAUCAAAAGAACCCAAAGGUCUGGGAAACGUUGGGCUUGAAAUCCUACAGGAAAUGCUUCGACCGGCUUUUGGUUUUGUAUGAAACUGGUGAUUAGGGGGGAGGGGUUGUGCGAGCGAACCCCCUACUCAUUUGCCCCUGCCUCUUUCCUGGCCCCUUUUGAUGUGCUCUUUGCCAGGUGCUUGUCCUCCGGUCUCUCUCUCUCUGGCCCGUCGCCGCCAGUUAUGCAGACUCUCUGUCGUACUCGGCGCCUGCUGCUUUUGAUAUGAUUCAAAGAUGAGGGUGUUGAUGAUGAUCGCUCUGGUGUGAUGGGGUUGAGACGGCGGUGAUUGUUUGGAGGCGAGGAGGAGAGAAAGGAAGGGCUGCUACUGCUGCUACUACCCUUCGCUGUGUGUGUGGGCUUCAAUUUUCCUACUCCAUCCUCUCCCCACCACUGGAAGUCCUCCCGUAUCUAAAUGGAAUUAGUGGAGAUCGAAGCCCCUUGUGUAAGGAACAGACAUGAUCCAUGGGCGCAGUUUGUUUCACAUUGUAGCAAGUCUAAUCAUCCUACAUCUGUCUGGGGCAACAAAAAAAGGAACAGCAGAAAAGCAAACCACUUCAGAAGGGCAGAAACCAGUGCAGUGUGGAACUUGGACAAAAUAUGCAGAAGGAGGCAUCUUCACUUCUCCCAAUUACCCCAACAAGUAUCCUCCUGACAGAGAGUGCAUCUACAUUAUAGAAGCUGCCCCUCGACAAUGUAUUGAGCUACACUUUGAUGAAAAAUAUUCUGUAGAGCCUUCUUGGGAGUGUAAAUUUGAUCACAUUGAAGUGCGAGAUGGACCUUUUGGCUUUUCCCCAAUCAUUGGACGUUUCUGUGGACAGCAAAAUCCACCUAUGAUAAAAUCUAGUGGCAGAUUCCUGUGGAUUAAAUUUUUUGCUGAUGGUGAGCUGGAAUCUAUGGGUUUUUCUGCUCGAUAUAAUUUCACACCUGAUCCGGACUUUAAGGACCUGGGAGUUUUGAAACCAUUGCCAGUUUGUGAGUUUGAGAUGGGAGGACCUGAAGGAAUUGUGGAAUCUGUGCAAAUUGUGAAGGAAGGAAAAGCUUCUGAUACGGAGGCGGUUGACUGUAAAUGGUACAUCCGAGCACCACCACGAUCCAAGAUCUAUUUACGAUUCUUGGACUAUGAAAUGCAGAAUUCAAAUGAAUGCAAAAGGAAUUUUGUGGCUGUCUAUGAUGGAAGUAGCUCGGUGGAGGAUUUAAAAGCUAAAUUUUGUAGCACUGUUGCUAAUGAUGUGAUGCUGCGUACAGGUCUUGGGGUAAUCCGCAUGUGGGCAGACGAAGGCAGUCGAAACAGCCGAUUCCAGAUGCUCUUCACAUCUUUCCAAGAACCCCCCUGUGAAGCCAACUCAUUUUUUUGCCAUAGUAAUAUGUGUAUUAAUAAUACAUUGGUCUGCAAUGGACUCCAGAACUGUGUGUAUCCUUGGGAUGAGAACCACUGUAAAGAAAAAAGAAAGGCUAACAUUUUGGACCAACUUACCAAUACCAGUGGGACUAUAAUUGGGGUGACCUCUUGCAUUGUGAUCAUCCUCCUUGUUAUCUCUGUUAUAGUACAGAUCAAACAACCUCGUAAAAAAUUUGUCCAAAGGAAAACAGACUUUGAUCAAACAGUAUUCCAGGAGGUGUUUGAACCUCCUCAUUAUGAGUUAUGUACUCUUAGAGGGACAGGGGCUGCAGCUGACCUUGCAGAUGUUGCAGAUGACUUUGAAAAUUAUCAUAAACUGCGGCGAUCAUCUUCAAAAUGCAUUCAUGACCAUCACUGUGGAUCACAACUGUCUAGCACUAAGGGCAGCCGUAGUAACCUCAGCACAAGAGAUGCUUCUAUCUUGACAGAAAUACAACCCCAGCCUGUAAAGCCCCUCAUCCAGCCCAUGAACAGGAGAAAUAUCCUUGUCAUGAAGCAUAGCUACUCACAAGAUGCUGCAGAUGCGUCUGAGAUAGAUGAAAUUGAAGAGGUACCAACUACAAGUCACAGGCUGUCAAGACAUGAUAAAUCUGUCCAGCGCCAUAACAUUCCAGGUUCUGCCUCAUUGGGUCUCUAAGCAAACAUGAGUCUGAGUACAACACAACUAGGGUCUAAAAGACAAAUUCAAGGGAGAAAAUGUCUUAACUGUGUUUUGUUUUCAGAGAAGAACUAUUUACACAAACAUGGGGACUGUGAAAAGAAAAAUCUAUAGUGAAUUAUUUCAACUGUCUGGAAAAAAAGUGGAUAUAUUUCUAAAUUUCAUUCCACUGCCUUUAUCCAAACCUAAGAGUUAUAGACGUUUCUUACUUCCUCAGCAAGAUAUUCCCAUUGCAUAAUAACAUGUUUCUUUUGUAAUUUCGUUGCUGGCCACAAAGUGCUCCUUAGUUUUUAAAUACAUUUUGAGAUUUACUGGAAACUUGAAGAAGAAAUUAGUUCCUGGCUGAAACUAUCCUAGUUUUACUUUUUAUGUUAGUAUUAUUUCAGUUAAUACAUUUAUGUCUUUAUCAGCUUGUCUAUUGUGUAAUACGUGAAAGAAGAUGAUUAUACAUUGAACUUUUGUUAUAUGUACAUUGUUUUCAUUAUAUAGACUGCUUGAGAAUAGUGCGCUCCUGAGUGAUUUUGAACAUGCUACAAUGAAAUGUGAAACUAUGGACCAUGGAAACACCAGCUAGAGGUUUUAUGGACUCUCUGAUCACCUUUUCUCAUGAUAUCAUGAUAUGAUAAAGUUCAGCAAACUGUACUGAGUAAAAUUAUUAGAUGGCAAUAAGACUCUAAAUAUUAUCAUUAUUAGUCAUUUUUCUUUUUCUUUUUUUCCUCUCUUUAAAUUUGAUUACGAAGUAAGAUACCCAAUUUCAGGAACAAUUUAUUGAAAUCAGGUAUUUAGCCAUUCAUAAUCACUUCAAUAGAAAUGUUUGUUGGAUAUGCAUCUAGCAAAAUGACUGAAUUUGACCACUGAGAAAAUAAUCUGCAUGUAUGUUACUGAAUAUUUGAGUUGGCAAAAAAAAUCUCUUUUAUUAGAUACAUUGUAAAAAGCAUGCAUUCACAAUUACUGUUGUUACUGUUCCAUUUCUUUGUGUCAUAUGCUUGCUACUUGUAACUUUUUAUAUAAAGAUACAUAAAACAAUGUAUAAUAAUUUCUUA